rnacentral:rRNA from 1 species
GGGGAAUAUUGCACAAUGGGGGAAACCCUGAUGCAGCGACGCCGCGUGAGCGAAGAAGUAUUUCGGUAUGUAAAGCUCUAUCAGCAGGGAAGAAAAUGACGGUACCUGACUAAGAAGCCCCGGCUAACUACGUGCCAGCAGCCGCGGUAAUACGUAGGGGGCAAGCGUUAUCCGGAUUUACUGGGUGUAAAGGGUGCGUAGGCGGAUUGGCAAGUCAGAAGUGAAAUCCAUGGGCUUAACCCAUGAACUGCUUUUGAAACUGUUAGUCUUGAGUGAAGUAGAGGUAGGCGGAAUUCCCGGUGUAGCGGUGAAAUGCGUAGAGAUCGGGAGGAACACCAGUGGCGAAGGCGGCCUACUGGGCUUUAACUGACGCUGAGGCACGAAGGUGUGGGUAGCAAACAGGAUUAGAUACCCUGGUAGUCCACACUGUAAACGAUGAUUACUAGGUGUGGGGGGUCUAACCCCCUCCGUGCCGGAGUUAACACAAUAAGUAAUCCACCUGGGGAGUACGACCGCAAGGUUGAAACUCAAAGGAAUUGACGGGGGCCCGCACAAGCAGUGGAGUAUGUGGUUUAAUUCGACGCAACGCGAAGAACCUUACCAGGUCUUGACAUCCAACUAACGAAGCAGAGAUGCGUUAGGUGCCCUUCGGGGAAAGUUGAGACAGGUGGUGCAUGGUUGUCGUCAGCUCGUGUCGUGAGAUGUUGGGUUAAGUCCCGCAACGAGCGCAACCCUUGUGAUUAGUUGCUACGCAAGAGCACUCUAAUCAGACUGCCGUUGACAAAACGGAGGAAGGUGGGGACGACGUCAAAUCAUCAUGCCCUUUAUGACCUGGGCUACACACGUACUACAAUGGUCGUUAACAGAGGGAAGCAAUACCGCGAGGUGGAGCAAAACCCUAAAAACGGUCUCAGUUCAGAUUGUAGGCUGCAACUCGCCUACAUGAAGUUGGAAUUGCUAGUAAUCGCGGAUCAGCAUGCCGCGGUGAAUACGUUCCCG